rnacentral:lncRNA from 1 species
GCUGCAUAAGGAGAUCCGGGCCAGGGGGCCCACCAGGAUGUCCUGCCCUGUGGGGGUCAACACUGGCCGUGGUCCGCCGGCGGCAUCCAGGGACAGUCUAUCUAGGUGAGGCUGAGGCUGCCCGCCCCCUCGCUCCCUCACCCCCUCACCCCCAUGCUGACGGCAGUGGGCUGACCACAGCCCCGGGGAGCCCCACGGGAAGACUGGCCUCCCCAGCACACGCCCAAUAGUGUGAGACACAGUCAUCACAGAGGCAGGUACACGACACCACGGGACUUGCCACCUACCUACCCCCAUUGGGACCACGGGCCAUUGAGAAGCCACGAAGGCCGUGCUUCCAGCAGCGACUGAGGCGGCAGGACCAUCAGGAGGCCACAGGCGCCACGGCUCCCCUCUGGUGGUUCACCUGCUCACCUGCGCUGGGGAGGCCCCUCCAGUGUGUGUGGUCCCGAGAGCAGAACCCCCCCAGUGUGAGCAGGUGACGGGCUG